ACAACCGACCUGUUUAAAAGUUACCAGACCACAGAACAUUUUGCAUGUUCCAGUUCUAUUUAGGAACAAGAGAGAGAUUAACCUUUCCAUGGAAAAAUUAUGCUUUCUCCAUGGUGAUGUAGAUUUUGCAGAUUUUGCACUUGCAAACGUCCUCCCGGGUAUUGGAGUCUGAGACUGUAGCAAGACAAUCAGCAGGUGGACUAUUUUGGUUUCAACUGGUUGACACAUUGUUGGUGCUUUUGACACAAACUGUGCAAAACAAAAGUUGAGCCCUCCAUCCCUGGAAGAGUGCAACCUUAAUACAGAACCAGUGAAAAACAGACGAUGCCAUUCACUUUGGGCUGGAUAACCUGUAUCCCGUGACUAUUCAUUUGGUCGUAUGCAUGGUGCCAUAAACUUCACUCUUCCGCUUACGGCCUGUGGGACUAUUUUCUCAGGAGAAUACGGCAUAACCGCUUCCCGGGUCUCUCAGAUUUAUGACGCUUCAGUUAUCAAGAGCAAAGGCUUCAUUCCCACCCCUGCUGGUAACAGGGAGCACACAGCAUUCCAGUGCCAGGCCAGCUCUAGUUUCCAUUCAGCACAGUCUGUAAAGAGACCUUCCUAUCAGUACGUGGCUCCCUUCCUACCUCUGCCAACUGCAACUGCUGCUACUUCUUUCAGAUUCUGCACGCAGCACGGCAGAGCAGCACAGCUCUAGGGAGCAACGCGCUAGUCAACAUGAACCACUAACUGGUGAGAACUCUGCACCCUGAAUGACUGGCUGUGAAUGAGAAGUGAUCAAAGAGACAGGGGUUAUGUGGUUAUAUGGACUGGCAAAGUGGAGGGAUGUUGCGGGAGAUGGAAACGCUGGAUGUACUAUGGUCACACGUCACAAAGAUCCUCGUUCCAGCCCAGCUCAGACUCCCCUGCGCAGACACCAUCUGGCUGGAGACUUCAAAGGAGCAGCAGCCGCCACUUCCACACCGAAGAGGUCGAAUUCUGAAGGCAGUUCCCACAGGCGACGGCACCCGCUUGUCAAAACAGCCGGCACACACCCACGCACUGAAGGGAGAGGGAGCCUCGGUCUCGGGAAGGUCUGGGCACACAUGCCUUCCCUAGGCACGGAGGCCACCGCCCAGUCACGCUCAGGCUACAGCAACGUGCACACUUUUAGGAUGAUCACAGCGUCCUCAACCAUGCCGGCUGGGCACCCUCAUCUGCUGCUGUUCCUCCCAUGAGGAGCCCUGUCAGUAUCACGGGUAGUCAAUGGUAGCAGACAUAGAUCCGUGCCGGGCAGUUAGCCAACCAGAUGAAGAAAGGAAUCUCACUAAUCCUUCCCAGCCAGCCAGCUAUAAUCCACCUGGAUCAGCCACCGCCAUGUGUGACCCUCACCUCCCCCUCUUGU